rnacentral:lncRNA from 1 species
UCAUGUGUUUUGUCAUUUUGGUUGACAGAUUCAUUUUAAGUAGGAAUCAUUUUUUCUUUUAUCAUUAUUAUUUAUAUUUUUUCUCUUUUUCUUCCUUCCAGAUAGCCCUUUUGCAUUUCCAUCAAUCUGGCAAGUCCCCAAUCUAGAAUGAAGUCUUAUAUAUUUGAAGUUAUUGUAGAUUGUCAUGAAACUAUGGUUGAAAGAAGGAAAAAAGCAAUUAUGUUAUAUGCCUAGAGGAGAAUAAGCUCUUUCUACUUAACUUCAUCUCCGGAUGCACAUUACUUGUGGGAUGGCUGACUAUCAGAAUGAACACAUUUCUCUUCCAGCUUUGUGAAUCCAUCGAAACGAUGCCUGAAGGUGAAGAAACUCUCAAUCUGGAAUGUACUAAUUCCUCACUUUUGCUUCAAGAGCUUCUCCACUUACGUGCUGUGGAUAUCCCUGGGCAAGUCAUUUAAGUCUUCAAUGCUCCUGUUUGCUUGUUUUAAGGAUAGAAAUAAUAAUAGUAC